UCUCCACAUUAUGGGAAGCGGAUGAUUGGGCGACGAGGGGGGGAUUAGAGAAAAUAGAUUGGAGCAAAGCGCCCUUCAAAGCAUAUUACAGAGACUUUGACAUUGAAGGGUGCGCAGUUCCAGGGCCAUCCAACUGCGCCACUGAUCCUAAAAACUGGUGGGAAGGGAAUGCUUAUCAAGCCUUGAAUGCCCUUGAAGCAAGAAGAUACAGGUGGGUCCGUCUCAACCACAUGAUCUAUGAUUACUGCACUGAUAAAUCAAGGUACCCAGUUACACCACCUGAGUGUGUCUUCGGCAUAUAGACGAUCAAAACCCACAACACAUAAAACCCUAAAUUGUGUAGUAAAAAAUAUGGCAUAAAAAAUUUUAUUCAAUGAGGGGAAAAUAAGUAUGCUGGUUGCAUAUGUGAAUUGGGUAUUUCCGAGUUUGAUUAUUUGGGU
rnacentral:lncRNA from 1 species